rnacentral:rRNA from 1 species
CAGUCGCCACGGGAAUACGUAGGUGGCAAGCGUUGUCCGGAAUUAUUGGGCGUAAAGGGCUCGCAGGCGGUUUCUUAAGUCUGAUGUGGAAGCCCCCGGCUCAACCGGGGAGGGUCAUUGGAAACUGGGAAACUUGAGUGCAGAAGAGGAGAGUGGAAUUCCACGCGUAGCGGUGAAAUGCGUAGAGAUGUGGAGGAACACCAGUGGCGAAGGCGACUCUCUGGUCUGUAACUGACGCUGAGGAGCGAAAGCGUGGGGAGCGAACAGGAUUAGAGACCCCUGUAGUCCCUGUCUCUUAUAA